rnacentral:rRNA from 1 species
AUUGAACGCUGGCGGCAGGCCUAACACAUGCAAGUCGAACGAGUGGCGGAAGGGUGAGUAAUGUCUGGGAAACUGCCUGAUGGAGGGGGAUAACUACUGGAAACGGUAGCUAAUACCGCAUACCAUCAGAUCUGCCCAGAUGGGAUUAGCUAGUUUGUGGGGUAACGGCUCACCAAGGCAACGAUCCCUAGCUGGUCUGAGAGGAUGCCCAGCCACACUGGAACUGAGACCGGGUCCCGACUCCUACGGGAGGCAGCAGUGGGGAAUAUUGCACAAUGGGCGCAAGCCUGAUGCAGCCAUGCCGCGUGUAUGAAGAAGGCCUUCGGGUUGUAAAGUACUUUCAGCGGGGAGGCGUUACCCGCAGAAGAAGCAACGGCUAACUCCGUGCCAGCCGCCGCGGUAAUAC